rnacentral:rRNA from 1 species
UCGAGGAUCUUCGGCAAUGGGCGAAAGCCUGACCGAGCGACGCCGCGUGUGCGAUGAAGGCCUUCGGGUUGUAAAGCACUGUCGUGGAGGAGAAAGACCCGCAAGGGUUUGAUCGACUCCAGGAGGAAGCUCGGGCUAAGUUCGUGCCAGCAGCCGCGGUAAGACGAACCGAGCGAACGUUAUUCGGAAUCACUGGGCUUAAAGGGCGCGUAGGCGGGCCAUCAAGUCAGGGGUGAAAGCCCCCAGCUCAACUGGGGAAGUGCCUUUGAUACUGGUGGUCUCGAGGGGGAUAGGGGCAUGCGGAACUUCCGGUGGAGCGGUGAAAUGCGUAGAUAUCGGAAGGAACACCGGUGGCGAAAGCGGCGCGCUGGAUCCCUUCUGACGCUGAGGCGCGAAAGCCAGGGGAGCGAACGGGAUUAGAUACCCGCGUAGUCC